GACAGAGGGGGCAAGCGUUGCUCGGAAUUACUGGGCGUAAAGGGCGCGUAGGCGGGAUGGCAAGUCGGUCGUGAAAUCCCUCGGCUCAACCGAGGAACGUCGAUCGAUACUGCUGUUCUUGAGGAUUGCAGAGGAGACUGGAAUUCCCGGUGUAGCGGUGAAAUGUGUAGAGAUCGGGAAGAACAUCGGUGGCGAAGGCGGCCUGCUGGGCCGUUGCUGACGCUGAGGCGCGACAGCGUGGGGAGCAAACAGG
rnacentral:rRNA from 1 species